GACCUCGGAUCAGGUAGGGAUACCCGCUGAACUUAAGAUAUCA
rnacentral:rRNA from 1 species